CACUCAUACCUACCUAUUAUGAGUGUUGGUUUGCGAAACAUGCCUGUCGAAUUGGUCACAACUUGCUGAGGAAGUGAUUCUGGGAGAAGCGAACGGGGAAGUGUUGUUCUCAUUGUCUCAAAGAUCAAAAGGUCUUUUACAGGGAAGAUGACUUAAUGUCUCUGCUGUUGCAGUGCAGAUUGCAUUGGGUGGGUACAAAGUCUUGUGUCAUAACUGGUGGCUUCUUUGAACUGUAAUGUUUUGAGGUUGUAGCAGGUUGCGCACUGGUUUUUGUGCCAUUUACACAAUGAGGAGAUC